CACUCACCUCAACACAAGUAGCUGGUUGUGAGGUCCCAUCAGCACUCACCUCAACACAAGUAGCUGGUUGUGAGGUCCCAUCAGCACUCACCUCAACACAAGUAGCUGGUUGUGAGGUCCCAUCAGCACUCACCUCAACACAAGUAGAUGGUUGUGAGGUCCCAUCAGCACUCACCUCAACACAAGUAGCUGGUUGUGAGGUCCCAUCAGCACUCACCUCAACACAAGUAGCUGGUUGUGAGGUCCCAUCAGCACUCACCUCAACACAAGUAGCUGGUUGUGAGGUCCCAUCAGCACUCACCUCAACACAAGUAGCUGGUUGUGAGGUCCCAUCAGCACUCACCUCAACACAAGUAGCUGGUUGUGAGGUCCCAUCAGCACUCACCUCAACACAAGUAGCUGGUUGUGAGGUCCCAUCAGCACUCACCUCAACACAAGUAGCUGGUUGUGAGGUCCCAUCAGCACUCACCUCAACACAAGUAGCUGGUUGUGAGGUCCCAUCAGCA